GACGGAGGGGCUAGCGUUGUUCGGAAUGACUGGGCGUAAAGGGCGCGUAGGCGGUUUUUUAAGUGAGGCGUGAAAGCCCUGGGCUUAACCUAGGAGGUGCGUUUCAUACUGAAAAGCUCGAGUGCGAGAGAGGAAAGCGGAAAUUCCUAGUGUAGAGGUGAAAUUCGUAAGAUAUUAGGAAGAACACCAGUGGCGAAGGCGCUUUCUGGCUCGUAACUGACGCUGAGGCGCGAAAGCGUGGGGAGCAGAAGAGA
rnacentral:rRNA from 1 species